AUAAGCACAGUAAUUUACCUCAUGGAAAAGACUUGACAUCUGAUUCAUUACGGACAGACCUAGAGAAGAUAUUUUUGGGGAAUGACUCAGUCAAUCCAAGGAAACUUGCAUACCUGUCAAGCUCACAAGCAAAUGAAAACUUUAACAACAUGCUUGCUGCAAAAGCUCCAAAAGCGAAGCACUACUCCUCAUCAGCAAGCUUGGGCUACAGGGUAGAUUCUUCUAUCUUGCAAAAGAAUGAAGGAUAUGCCUAUGUUAGUGAGUUCAUGCAUCCAUGGGACUGUCUCCUGGAGAGGAAACAAUAAAAAGAAGCUCCAAAAUAAAUAUGAAAAGGAAAAAAAACCAAAGAAGCCAAGAGAAGACGUUUCUUCUUAAAGCAGACAAGAACCUCUAAGACUGCUAGUAAAGAAAUAAGGGAAGGCAAAACUUACGAAAGUGAAAUAGGAUUCAAAUCUGAAGUUACAGACAAAGAGUCCCAGGAGAUUCCUGAAAUACAAGACAUCACAAAGAUCCCUUUGAAUGAACAAGAGUCAAAGCACCAGUAGUAAUUUUUGAUUUAGAGACAACUGGCCUCAGUAGGAAAUCUGACAUAACCCAAUUAGCAGCCUAUUCAGAAACUCUGAAUUUUAGCACUUACAUUUUUCCAUCCCAGGCAAUAUCCAAAGAAGCAUCAGAGGUCACACAAAUUUUUGUGAAUGGUAAUCAGAUGUUUCACAACAGCACUGCAGUUCAAUACAAGUUGGCCCAUGAAGCAUUGACGGACUUUAUUAUAUUUUUAUCAAGUUUUCCUAGUAAAUGUAUUCUUGUAGGUCACAACAUCAAACGCUUUGAUACUCAUGUGUUAUAUAACCAAUUGCAUAUUCAUAACAUGUGGAAUGAAUUUUGCUUACAUGUUUGUGCUUUUUGUGACACCUUAGAUUUAUUUAAAAGUGUUGUUCCUGGUAUGUCUUCAUACAGCCAAACAUCUCUUGUAAGAGAGCUCUUAGGCGAUACUUAUGAUGCUCACAAUGCUAUACAUGACACCAAAGUUUUAUACAAACUUGUAAUUGAAAGAGGGAAUUUUAAGGAUAAUGUGGUAGAAUUUUCAUUACCUGUUAGUUAUCCUUAUGAUUCACAUGUUAUCCAAGAAAACUUGAACAGUUUUUCUCAUGCUAUAAAUUGUGAAGCUAUUUCAAAAUCUUGUGCACUGAAGGCAUCAAAAUCUAACCUUAAAUUGUCUCACUUUAAGUUAGCAGUACAUCGAGAUGGUAUAGAUGGACUUAAAGCUUUACUUGCUGAAAAGUCUAACAAGGGAAGUGUGAGAGUAACUAAAUGUACAAGAGUUAUUCAAAAACUGUUUGAUUUUCUUCAUGAAGAUUGAAAUAGUAUGCAAUAAUUAGGUCAUGGAAAAUUACCUUGUUCUCAAGUUCACUAAAUGAUACAGGGGGAAGGAAUUUUUUUAUGCUCCAAUAUCAAAAAGGGAAAGGGCAUUUAGAUUUCCCCUUGUCCGUCCAUAUGUCCUGGUAUUGGUUAGUUUUUUACCUGCGUUGUAAAAAGCAUCAUUUAUAUUUAUCCUUAUACAUUUGUAUGUAAUGAUAUUGGUUAAGUUUAUACUGCUGGAGUUCAAUUUUUUCUUGGCUUUUAUGACAGAGAAUGCAAAUGAUUUUAAUAUUUGUUCUGGGAAUGAUUAUUUAUGCUAUGGAAUGCAUAUUACCUCAAUCAAUUGAAUGGAGAGGCAGGUUCAGAGCCAGUAUUGGUCUUGUUGUGUAUAUAUGUCUGCUUCCUAGACAUAUACAUGGUAUAGCAAUGAAUAUAUAUAUAGGUUAUUUGAGGGUCCAUUUUACAUCAAAUAAAUUUUUAAAAGCCAACUUUUCUUUUCAUUCUUAAAAGGCUUUGCCAAAUUAAAAAGAAAUAUUUUGAACAUAAAGUUAACAUUAGGAAGGGGCUGAGAACCAAGAAAUAAAUGUUAUUUGGUUUAAAUAAAAAGAGUAAUGAUGAUGUAAUUUUUAAUGACUGUUUAUAAUAUAAAAAAAAAACUAUGCUUUGUAUUUGUUGGAAAAUGUCAAAUAUAUCCUCAUUUCCUGAUGAGAAA